rnacentral:rRNA from 1 species
CUUGUUGGCCACAGCCCUGCAGCCCAAGACCAGUUACUCACUGAAGCUAAGCAGGGCUGAGCCUGGUCAGUACUUGGAUGGGAGUUAGGGUUAGGGAUGGGAGACCACUAAGGAACACAAGGUUGCUGUUGAAA